AUACGGAGGGUCCAAGCGUUAUCCGGAUUCAUUGGGUUUAAAGGGUCCGCAGGCGGGAAAAUAAGUCAGUGGUGAAAGCCUACAGCUCAACUGUAGAACUGCCAUUGAUACUGUUUUUCUUGAGUAUAGAUGAAGUGGGCGGAAUAUAUCAUGUAGCGGUGAAAUGCAUAGAUAUGAUAUAGUACACCGAUUGCGAAGGCAGCUCACUAAACUAUUACUGACGCUCAGGGACGAAAGCGUGGGGAGCGAACAGGAUUAGAAACCCCAGUAGUCC
rnacentral:rRNA from 1 species